UAAUAAAAAGAAGGAACUCAGGGGGAGA
rnacentral:piRNA from 1 species